CUUUUCAGUUCUGUCUUCCUGAGGCUGCUGUUUCUGGGCAUGGCCAGGGGAUCUUCAGACUUUACAAACCAGUUGUGCAGAGCCAGGCAUUUCAAUAAGGAACAAAAUGCUGAGUAACAACAUGAAGUCAGAGUGUUGCUUGCCAAGAGCUGGGAGGCCUGGGUGGUUUCCCAAUCUUAAAGAAGCAGAAGGAUAUUAAAGUGAGCCUCCCAAAGGAAAACGUGGAUCUACUUACCAACGCAGAAAAUGAUACACACGGAUUCGAUUUAGGCUGGAGUACAGUAACUGCAACCUCCGCCUCCCAGGUUCCGGUGAUUCUCAUGGCUCAGUCUCCCAAGGAGCUGGGAUUACAGGCACGCUACAUUCAAAUGACUUGGAAGAGCAGGUUCUCUGAGCCAGGAUACUAAAGUCCCUGUUUAGGAAAGAGCCACGUUGUAUGUUUACCCUACCACAAAGAUACAGUGCUGGCAGAGGAAACAGCAGCAAUGAUGCUCUGCGAGCCUGACUCAGGGCCAGCAGUGAUGGCAGCCCAAGAAUUCUGGAGGAAAGUGGCUCUGGGAAUUGAACAGUGGCUCAGUGAUGUUGGGGCCACCAAGUCUGCAAUUCUCCCUACCUGUUCUUCAUGGUUGUAAGAUGACUGCUGCAAUUCUCGGCAUCAUGUGCAUGUUAAUGUCAGGAGGAAGAAAGGAAGAGGGAGCACUGGGAUGUUACAUUCAUUUUGUCAGGAAAAGCAAAGCCUUUCCAGACAGCUCCGAAACUUGCUUACCUCUCAUUGGCCAGCACCAUCACUUGACCACUUGUCCACUCCUAGCUGCAAGGAAAGUGGCAAAGUAGAAGGUAUUUGAGAAUGUCUGCUGGGUUAGCCAAAACAAUAGUGACUUCUACACCCAAUUUUCUGGGCACUGCAGAAGUAUCCUUGAGUCCUAUGUGAUCAGAGGGAGAGCAAACCUCAAUAAUGAAACAGAUUCAAUUUCCAUCACCCAGUGAGACACCAUGGGAUUAGAAUAAAUUUUUAAAAAAACAAAUUGAAAAAAAUGCAUUUUUAAAACAACAAAAUCAGAAAGGAUGAAAGGUGAUAUUUCUAGCAUAUCAGUUUGUGGUGGUAAAUUAAUUACCUUAUACAAAGGCCUCAGUGACUUUCUUCUCCUUACCUAACGAAUCAUCUUUAAAAUAAGUAAAAUAAAGAAACAAGAGCAGCAGCAGAUGCUUCCUAAAAAGAAGUUACCAAAUCUGUUCACCACAAACCUGAGAAUUCAACUGUGGACAUUUGGACACCAGCAAUGAACAUGAAACUCAGCUUAUGAGGCAUAUUUGGCUAAAGGUCAAGGUGACUUAAAGUUCAUCAUAGGACAUCUACAAUUUGCAAAGCAGGUGACUGGAUAUGGACUCCUUCCAAGUCUCAUUUAAUUGGAUAAUGCCUACGUUUUAAGUAUCAGAAGUGAGUCUUUCUCUAUUAAAUGAAGUCAGUUCCACUAAAACCUAAAUCUUGUUUGGCAGGCACUCCAUGUUUCUUAAUUUUUAUUCCAUGCUGUAUAUUCUUUUAGACUUGAUUUUCACUUUUUUUUCUUUUUUCCUGUACAUUUAUCUUUGCUGUGAAACAAAGUGCCCUGCUUUGAAGGACAGGUUUGUGGGCUGCUGGUGGUGAGACAACAGCAGUCCUUCCAAGUCUUCCUCCCAUCACUCUGUUAGCUCUCCCUUUGUUUUUAAUUAGCAUUACACCAGUUAAUUCUGUUAUCUCUUAACCCUGGUUCUGCAUCCUCUUCUUCUUUUCUAUUCCUUACUCCGCUCCUGUUUUUUCUUGUUCUGCUUUUCCAAGAAAUGUCUUGUCUCC
rnacentral:lncRNA from 1 species